rnacentral:rRNA from 1 species
UAGGGAAUCUUCCGCAAUGGGCGAAAGCCUGACGGAGCAACGCCGCGUGAGUGAUGAAGGUCUUCGGAUCGUAAAACUCUGUUAUUAGGGAAGAACAAAUGUGUAAGUAACUAUGCACGUCUUGACGGUACCUAAUCAGAAAGCCACGGCUAACUACGUGCCAGCAGCCGCGGUAAUACGUAGGUGGCAAGCGUUAUCCGGAAUUAUUGGGCGUAAAGCGCGCGUAGGCGGUUUUUUAAGUCUGAUGUGAAAGCCCACGGCUCAACCGUGGAGGGUCAUUGGAAACUGGAAAGCUUGAGUGCAGAAGAGGAAAGUGGAAUUCCAUGUGGAGCGGUGAAAUGCGCAGAGAUAUGGAGGAACACCAGUGGCGAAGGCGACUUUCUGGUCUGGAACUGACGCUGAUGUGCGAAAGCGUGGGGAUCAAACAGG